AGCGAACGCUGGCGGCAGGCCUAACACAUGCAAGUCGAACGAACCUUUCGGGGUUAGUGGCGGACGGGUGAGUAACACGUGGGAACGUGCCUUUAGGUUCGGAAUAACUCAGGGAAACUUGUGCUAAUACCGAAUGUGCCCUUCGGGGGAAAGAUUUAUCGCCUUUAGAGCGGCCCGCGUCUGAUUAGCUAGUUGGUUGAGGUAAUGGCUCACCAAGGCGACGAUCAGUAGCUGGUCUGAGAGGAUGAUCAGCCACAUUGGGACUGAGACACGGCCCAAACUCCUACGGGAGGCAGCAGUGGGGAAUCUUGCGCAAUGGGCGAAAGCCUGACGCAGCCAUGCCGCGUGAAUGAUGAAGGUCUUAGGAUUGUAAAAUUCUUUCACCGGGGACGAUAAUGACGGUACCCGGAGAAGAAGCCCCGGCUAACUUCGG
rnacentral:rRNA from 1 species